rnacentral:rRNA from 1 species
UACGAAGGGGGCUAGCGUUGUUCGGAAUUACUGGGCGUAAAGCGCACGUAGGCGGAUACUUAAGUCAGGGGUGAAAUCCCGGGGCUCAACCCCGGAACUGCCUUUGAAACUGCAGUGCUAGAAUUCUGGAGAGGCGAGUGGAAUUCCGAGUGUAGAGGUGAAAUUCGUAGAUAUUCGGAAGAACACCAGUGGCGAAGGCGACUCGCUGGACAGAUAUUGACGCUGAGGUGCGAAAGCGUGGGGAGCAAACAGG